AGUAGCUUUCAAGAAGGUUUGUAAAAUAUCAUUUUUGAGCAGAACCUGCUUUCAAUACAGAGGCUGUUAAUUGCUGUGGUUUGCUGUCCCUGUCUCCUGCCAUGGGCUCAUCAAAGGCACCUAGGAGGAAGUCUGCUGGGGUCUUCUGCCAGUUUUAUGUCCUUGAUUAAAAAAGAACAGUGAGAAAGAAAUGUUCCUCUUUCCUUGCCCCUGGGUGCAGCCACGCUGAAGAAUAGGAAACAGCACACUGCGAUGAAGCAAGCACAGAGGACAUGGGGCACUAGAGAAGCCACUCCACGACUGACUAGGGAGCUGCUGUUUCUGAGCUCUGCUCUUAGGAAACUCUCAUCAGGAUGACAUGGCCAAUUCUAUAAAAUGGGCCAUGAGCGCUGAUCUAUUUACCAUCUGAAGCUUGUUCUCUUGAUGCCUGCUAAAGCAACUGUACAAGCCUUGGGAUGAGACCAAUAUGGAAACAGUCUGGAUUCCUGAAUUACCCUACAGUCUCAUGCACUUAAAGCAAACUACAUAAGUACAAAAUAAACUUUCAGUUAGUUAUGUA
ensembl:antisense Gm43569 predicted gene 43569